rnacentral:rRNA from 1 species
AUUGAACGCUGGCGGAAUGCUUUACACAUGCAGGUCGAGCGGCAGCACGGGGGCAACCCUGGUGGAGAGCGGCGAAGGGGUGAGUAAUACAUCGGAAAAUGCCCAGUCGUGGGGGAUAAAACUUCGAAAGAAGUGAUAAUACCGCAUACGGCCUGAGGGAGAAAGCGGGGGAUCUUCGGACAUCGCGCGAUUGGAGUGGCCGAUGUCCGAUUAGCUAGUUGGUGGGGUAAAGGCUUACCAAGGCAACGAUCUGUAGCUGGUCUGUGAGGAUGAUCAGCCACACUGGGGCUGAGACACGGCCCAGACUCCUACGGGAGGCAGCAGUGGGGAAUUUUGGACAAUGGGGGCAACCCUGAUCCAGCCAUUCCGCGUGAGUGAAGAAGGCCUUCGGGUUGUAAAGCUCUUUCGGCAGGAACGAAACGGCGAGCUCUAACAUAGCUUGCUAAUGACGGUACCUGAAGAAGAAGCACCGGCUAACUACGUGCCAGCCGCCGCCGUAACAC